AGUGGCAGUCAAAGGCCUAAACACCAGUUAUACAUUUUUGUGACUCGUCUCUGAUCGGCGCCACAGACACACACACACACACACACAGACACAGACACACACUUAAACACAGGGCAAUGAAGUGAGUGGGAGUGCAUUGUUAUCACCACCAAACCUCAACACUAUAAUACCGCAUCAUUAUAUCCUUGGCUCCCCGUCUCGUCCUGCCAAGCCCCGCCAAGCCCUGCCCAGCCCCGCCGCUGCUAAGAUAAAGAAGCGAUGAGGAAACAGGAAAACAGGACGCCCUGGCCACCCUGAGUCUUCCCAACUUGUCGGCAAGAUACCGAGCGACCCUUGAGAAGUUUGGGAAGGGCCUGCUGCGCAACCAACGCCUAUGCCACAUGCUGUUGCCCGACUUGCCUCGCCAGAUCCAUGCCACACAACACAAAAACUAGGUGACACCCAUGAAAGCUCCGCUCAUGGAGCAACAUCGCUUCAGCUGGAUUCCCACUUCGGUGCGAGCCACUUAACAGUUAGUUUCUCUCUUUAGAUUAACUUUAGUUUUAGUAUUAAGCCUCGUCAAACCCACUGUAUAUUUUUCAGUCUAACAACUGCCAUAUCAGUAAACUAUUUAUUAUUAUAA